UACGUAGGGUGCGAGCGUUAAUCGGAAUUACUGGGCGUAAAGUGUGCGCAGGCGGCCUCGCGAGUCGAGUGUGAAAGCCCCGGGCUUAACUUGGGAAUUGCGCUCGAAACUACGUGGCUGGAGUGUGGCAGAGGAAGGUGGAAUUCCAGGUGUAGCGGUGAAAUGCGCAGAUAUCAGGAGGAACACCGAUGGCGAAGGCAGGUCUCUGGGCCACUACUGACGCUGAGAAGCGAAAGCAUGGGGAGCGAACAGG
rnacentral:rRNA from 1 species